AUGGGAUGUGUGAGUGGAAUUGCCAUUCUCCUGGCUUUGGGUAAGUAUUGCGGGUGAUGCUAAGACUACACAACCAGAUUCAAUGGAAAGUACUGAAGGAGAAACGGUGCACUUGCCUUGUAGCCACGCCACAAUCAGUGGAAACGAGUACAUCUAUUGGUACCGACAGGUUCCUCUUCAGGGUCCAGAAUAUGUGACUCACGGUCUACAACAAAAUACAACCAAUAGUAUGGCUUUCCUGGCUAUUGCCUCUGACAGAAAGUCAAGCACCUUGAUCCUGCCUCAUGUCAGCCUGAGAGACGCGGCUGUGUACCACUGUAUCCUGAGAGUAG